rnacentral:lncRNA from 1 species
AGGAAAUGAACUCAGAGGAGGGAGGAGGGCUGCCAUAUGUCUGCUGGUUUGUUGUUUAGGAAGCCGUUAGUCUUUGUGGUAGCACUUUCCUUAAAGUUAGGGUGGAAGCAGGUACCAUGAUGUUUAAGUUAGAGAAUUAAAGGUGUGUAAGAAGGCUCUUCACAGAAGGUUCACUUUUAUCUGUCUUCUUUUCUUCAGGUUCCACCACCUCUCAGCGUCAUCACACUUGGGACCAAGCUUCCGACAUAUGAACCAUGGGGGAUAAACCAUAUCCAAACCAUAGCAACAGCCGUCUUAAUAAACACAGCCAGAUAAGAUAUGGUGUAUUAAUGUAGCUCUUUGGGCGGUAAUGGGAAAAGGAUGCACCUGAAGGGUUAAUGUUUGUAAUUGUGGACUUGUCAGGG